UAAUUAUAUUAUUUAUUGCAAUUAUAAAUAUAUAGGCACCCAACACCAAAGCACCUAAAUGUACAAAACAAAUAUUGAAAGAAUUGAAGAGAGAAAGAGAUAACAAUACAGUUAUAGUAAAAAGUUUCAAUACCUCCCUUUCAAUAAUGGAUACAAUAUUCAGACAUAAGAUCUGUAAAGACAUACAGGACACAAAUAACACUGUAGACCAAAUGAACCUAACAGACAUAUAUAGAACAUCUGACACAAGAACAACAGAAUGCAUGUUCUUCUUAAGAACACACAGAUCUUUCUCCAGAAUAGAUCAUAUGUCAUGUCACAUAACAAGUCUUAAUAACUUAAGAAGAUUGAAAUCAUACAAAGUAUCUUUUCUGACCACAAUAGAAUGAAAUUAGAAAUCGACAGCAGAAGAAAAUUGGGAAAUAUACAAAUAUUUGGAAAAUAAACAAGACAUUUUUGAAUAACCAUCUGGUCAAAAAACAAACCAAAAAAGAAACUAGAAAAUACUUCAAGACAAAUGAAAACAAAAAUACAACAUACUAAAAUUUAUGGGAUGCAGUAAAAGCAGUACUAAAAGUGACUUUCAUGGUGACAAAUAUCUACAUUAUAAAAGAAGAAAGAUCUCAAAUCAUCAACUGAACUUUAUACUGUAAGGAGCUAGAAAAAGAAGAACAAACUAAGUCCAAAGUUAGCAGGAGGAAGCAAAUAAGAAAAGACUAGAACAAAAAUAAAACAAAACAACACUAAGAGUUGGUUUUUCAAAAAGAUUAACAAAAUUUACAAACCUCUAGCUAGAUUAAAAAGAAAAAUAUUCAACAUGAGAAAUGAAAGAAGAGACAUCGUAUUGAUGCAACAGAAAUAAAAAAGAUGAUAAAAGAUUACAAUGAAAAAUUAUAUGUCAGGGAUACCUGGGUGGCUCAGUGAUUGAGUGUCUGCCUUUGGUGCAGGGCAUGAUCAUCAGGCUCCCUCUGGGGAGCCUGCUUCUCCCUCUGCCUGUGUCUCUACCUCUCUCUGUGUGUCUCUUGUGAACGAAUAAAUAAAAUCUUAAAAAAAAAAAAAAGAAAAAAGAAAAACUAUAUGCCAAAAAAAGUGGAUAACCUAGAAAAAAAAUGGACAAAUUCCUACAAACAUAAAACCUAUGAAGACUAAAUCAUAAAAGAAUAGAACAUGUGAUGAUAUGUGUAAUUACUAUCCAGAUUGAAUCAAUAAUCAAAAACCUCUCACAAAGAAAAGCCCAGGACCAGAUGAUGACUUCACUGGUGAAUUCUACCAAACCUUAAAAAAAAAAAAAAAAAAA
rnacentral:lncRNA from 1 species